rnacentral:rRNA from 1 species
GAUGAACGCUGGCGGCGUGCCUAAUACAUGCAAGUCGAGCGAACAGAUGAGGAGCUUGCUCCUCUGACGUUAGCGGCGGACGGGUGAGUAACACGUGGAUAACCUACCUAUAAGACUGGGAUAACUUCGGGAAACCGGAGCUAAUACCGGAUAAUACAUUGAACCGCAUGGUUCAAUAGUGAAAGACGGUUUUGCUGUCACUUAUAGAUGGAUCCGCGCCGCAUUAGCUAGUUGGUAAGGUAACGGCUUACCAAGGCGACGAUGCGUAGCCGACCUGAGAGGGUGAUCGGCCACACUGGAACUGAGACACGGUCCAGACUCCUACGGGAGGCAGCAGUAGGGAAUCUUCCGCAAUGGGCGAAAGCUUGACGGAGCAACGCCGCGUGAGUGAUGAAGGUCUUCGGAUCGUAAAACUCUGUUAUUAGGGAAGAACAAAUGUGUAAGUAACUAUGCACGUCUUGACGGUACCUAAUCAGAAAGCCACGGCUAACUACGUG